rnacentral:rRNA from 1 species
AUGGAGAAGAUGCUCUGCUCCAACCCUCCUUGCCUCCUACUAGAAGAUGUCUUUUUUGUGUGUGCUUGUAUUGCAGCAGCCAUGUGCGUAUCAAAAAAAGGGUCCAGUUUGCAGCAGUCACAUGAUGUGGACAUGUUUUUUCAUCACAAUUGGAUUUUUGGAUUUACUAGGCUAAUUGGUUGUUGUUGUUGUUGUUGUUGUUGUUUUAGCAGCAGCAGCAGCAGGCCGAGUGACGGUGGUGGCUGUGUGCAGGCCAUGGAGGCGAUGAUGAGCAUGAGGGGAAGGCUGCUGCUUCAACCCCGUUAA